AAAAAGGAUUUAUUUAAAACCACAUACAUUAAAAAUAGAACGAAGG
rfam:Crassostrea gigas strain 05x7-T-G4-1.051#20 contig4611, whole genome shotgun sequence.